UUUUUUUUUUUUUUUUUUUUUUUUGCUGUUUUAAAGAUUUAUUUAUUUUCUUUUAAGUGUAUGAGUGUUUUGAUUUUAUGUAUAUGUGGACCAUGUGUACACACAUUCCGGGUACUCAUGAAGGUUACAAGAAGGCACCACGUCCCCUGAACUGAAAUUAUGGACGGCCAUGAGCUACCAUGUGGGUUCUGAGACCCAAACCCAGGUCCUCUGCAAGAGCCACACGUGCCGUUAACCACUGAGCCAUCUCCUGUCUUGGCAUUCCUCUUUUAAAGUCAUAUUCAUCUCAGAAAAGACUAGUGAUCAGGUCUGGAUCAUGUGCACCAUGAGCCAUCAUUGGAUGGGGUCCACUUUACCACGUGAGCAGAGAGUGAGGAAGGCCCUUCAAAGGGAAGUCUUACAAAAAGGAGGAGGGAUGUGGUUUCUAAGUAUCUCUAGUCCAGAUUUUUCUUUUUUGCUGUUCUUAAAGAUUUUAUUUAUUCUAUGUAUGUGAGUACACUGUAGCUGUCUUCAGACACAGCAGAAGAGGGUAUUGGAUCCCAUUACAGAUGGUUGUGAGCCACCAUGUGGUUGCUGAGAAUUGAACUCAGGACCUCUGGAAGAGUAGUCAGUGCUCUUAAACACUGAGCCAUUUCUCCAGCCCCAGGUUUGGGAUAUUUUUAUUUGAACAGGGUUUACCUGUCUUGAGUUUUAUGAUAUUUCAAAAUAUCCUAAGAAGGAAUAGACAAGAUGUGAUGCCCAGGCCUGUCAUCUCAUCCCUUAGGAAUAGACAAGAUGUGCUGCCCAGGCCUGUCAUCUCAUCACUUAGGAAGCUGAGCUGGGAGAGUCCCCACGAGUCUGAGGCCAGUCUGGGCUACCUAGUGAGACCCUGUCUCAAAACAAACUAGUAAUCAUAAAAGAAACAGUCCGAAGAUACCAUGAUGACACCUUAUUUACAAAUUAAUAUGUUAGUCUUUUUAAAAGAAAAAGAUAAAAAUAGUCAUUCGAAUU
rnacentral:lncRNA from 1 species